rnacentral:rRNA from 1 species
AGUAACGCGUGGGUAACCUGCCUCAAUACAGGGGGAUAACAGUUAGAAAUGACUGCUAAUACCGCAUAAGCGCACAGUGCUGCAUGGCACAGUGUGAAAAACUCCGGUGGUAUGAGAUGGACCCGCGUCUGAUUAGCUAGUUGGUGGGGUAACGGCCUACCAAGGCGACGAUCAGUAGCCGGCCUGAGAGGGUGAACGGCCACAUUGGGACUGAGACACGGCCCAA